rnacentral:sRNA from 1 species
ACAUUUGUCUCUUCUCUUGUAAAGAAGACAAGAACAAAAAGAACUCUUUAUUGAACUGAAACUUGUUGAUAUUUACAUGACGAU